rnacentral:tRNA from 1 species
GGGGAUUUGGCUCAGUGGUAGAGCGCUUGCCUAGCAAGCACAAGGUCCUGGGUUCGGUCCCCAGCUCUA